rnacentral:tRNA from 1 species
UAUUUAAACUAUUCCUUG